CGAGUCACCCUGCGAGCUAACAGCUGACUUCUUCGCGCGCGUUCGCGCGUGCUCCUGAAUUUGAGAUUUCAUCGAAGUACUUAGGGUGCGUUCGGAGAGACGCUAUUAGCGCUACCAGCAUCAGUCCAUCUUCAUUACUCAUUAAAAGUAGAACAAGGAUAAACUGAUGCUGAUAGCGCUAAUAGCGUCUCCCUGAACGCACCUUUAACCUAAAAGGGAAAGAGUGUCUCGUGUGACUUUUCAUAAAAUUCUUCCCGAGAACUGUUCAGGCGUUUACAAAGGAAUCAACGAAGAACGUGAAAUAAAAUGGGCCUUUCAGCUUUCGAUCCUCGGCAUAGAUUUUCAUCUGGAAGCUCACCAGGUCGGACGUUCUCUUGUGAAAGUCAAGCCGCGUGUCCUUUGGGUGUAUCCCCCGGUCGUGCCACCAACCGUAACUGAAAAUCGUCAUAAUAAUUAGCCGUUGGAGCGGCGAACAACCCGCAAAGAAGAAGAAAGAAACAUGCGAGAUCGCACGUCUCGAGAGGGCAGGAAUUUUACGUGUGGCUGGUCAAUAACGGCGUCUGGUAUAGCCUCCUCGGGCUCCUCUCUUGCUCGGCGGCGAGUCUCUCGAGCGUGUCGCCUACGUCCGCAUUUCGCGCGUCCUCGAGUGUCCGCGAGUAGAAUUUUGGUGUGACGAAGUCCACUGUAAUCGAUUUGCAAACGCUUCGCGUGCGCAUUUAUUUCAUAGGUCGUAUUACGCUCGGUUACUCGCGCUGCGAAAAUCGAGACCGCGUGCUGGCGCUAUGCGUACGUUUACUCCUUUCAGUCCCGCUCCAAGUAGCGCGCGUGUUGGCUUUUUUUUAUCAUUUCGUUUUCUAAACGGUCGUAAAAACAUUAUGUGAAACGCACCACAGAUGCGUUUAGGAAAACAUAUGUAAAACGUACACGAGCCAGCACUUGUUACACCUCUGGAUGGAAUAUUUAUAUAUGUAAUAAAAAUGUUCAUUUGUAGAGGAAUACUGGCACAGGCCUCUUAAAGCCGGCACCCCUUCAUUUCUCAGGGACUAAACAUUGCAUUACAUUAAUACUGAAUAAAAAUAUGAUCUGCUUAAAUGAAUUAAAAAAUAAAAA